UUUUUUCCACACAAUCACCACCCACCCUGGACCACAUAAGUGCCAUUUGAGGGUCCUGAGAUGUCGACUGGGGCCCCCUCUCCCGAGGAGGCAAUUUGUUGACAGUUAACAGUGCUUCCCAUGAAAUGAGAGCCCAUGGUCUGGUUAUAACACACAGGGUGUGUAAUAGAGUGGUUAAUAAAAACCUUGUGGCUAAUAGGUGAGGGUUUAGCAUGGCCAAAUUUUACCCAAAAUAGAGCAUCACAUGUACCAUUUCUAAUGCCAAUCCGGUAUGGAUCGUAGUCAUCGACAAUUAUAUAUAUGGGUCCUGGUACCCUGAUCCUGCAAAACUGGCAAAACAUAUAGCAGCUGUUUUAUUCAUGGGUUUAGCAUAAAGAGGGGUUUGCUUGGCUGAAUGAGGCAUAACAGAACAUACAUAACAACCAGAUACAUUAUAUGACCUAGCUAAAACUUUCACAUAUUGAUACCACAUAUUAUUUCAAUUGGAUUGUCAGCCCCAUCCUCUGCCCAUCCAAAUUCAUGAUCAUGUGUCCAGCGUUUCAGCCUGGCUGCAUUAGCUUGAGCAACAAGAAAGAGAAACAGUCCAAUUGUCCGCAGCAAAAAGGAAGUCAUGCUGACCCUUGCCUUAAGGUAGACAGUGCUACGUGUUUAGCUCCCAUCUGUCUCCCAAACGCAAUUGUGCAGCUGUCGACCCGGAGACAUGAGAAGAGACCAAACUGUAGUUAGAAUGGUUUAUUCUGCAAGCCUGA
rnacentral:lncRNA from 1 species